UGGGGAAUCUUGGACAAUGGGGGCAACCCUGAUCCAGCCAUGCCGCGUGAGUGAUGAAGGCCUUAGGGUCGUAAAGCUCUUUCGCCUGUGAAGAUAAUGACGGUAGCAGGUAAAGAAACCCCGGCUAACUCCGUGCCAGCAGCCGCGGUAAUACGGAGGGGGUUAGCGUUGUUCGGAAUUACUGGGCGUAAAGCGCACGUAGGCGGACCAGAAAGUUGGGGGUGAAAUCCCGGGGGCUCAACCCCGGAACUGCCUCCAAAACUAUUGGUCUAGAGUUCGAGAGAGGUGAGUGGAAUUCCAAGUGUAGAGGUGAAAUUCGUAGAUAUUUGGAGGAACACCAGUGGCGAAGGCGGCUCACUGGCUCGAUACUGACGCUGAGGUGCGAAAGUGUGGGGAGCAAACAGGAUUAGAUACCCUGGUAGUCCACGCCGUAAAACGAUGAGCACUCGGUGCCGCGGGUAUCGACCCCUGCGGUGCCUGAGCUAACGCAUUAAGUGCUCCGCCU
rnacentral:rRNA from 1 species